AUUGAACGCUGGCGGCAGGCCUAACACAUGCAAGUCGAGCGGCAGCGGGACCUUCGGGUUGCCGGCGAGCGGCGGACGGGUGAGUAAUGCCUAGGAAUCUGCCUGUUAGUGGGGGAUAACGCGGGGAAACUCGCGCUAAUACCGCAUACGUCCUACGGGAGAAAGCGGGGGCUCUUCGGACCUCGCGCUAACAGAUGAGCCUAGGUCGGAUUAGCUAGUUGGUGGGGUAAUGGCCCACCAAGGCGACGAUCCGUAACUGGUCUGAGAGGAUGAUCAGUCACGCUGGAACUGAGACACGGUCCAGACUCCUACGGGAGGAAGCAGUGGGGAAUAUUGGACAAUGGGCGAAAGCCUGAUCCAGCCAUGCCGCGUGUGUGAAGAAGGUCUUCGGAUUGUAAAGCACUUUAAGUCGGGAGGAAGGGCUGUAGGCUAAUACCUUGCAGUUUUGACGUUACCGACAGAAUAAGCACCGGCUAACUUCGUGCCAGCCGCCGCCGUAA
rnacentral:rRNA from 1 species